rnacentral:rRNA from 1 species
GACGUAGGGCGCGAGCGUUGUCCGGAUUUAUUGGGCGUAAAGAGCGUGUAGGCGGCCCGGUAAGUCCGCUGUGAAAGUCGGGGGCUCAACCCUCGAAUGCCGGUGGAUACUGUCGGGCUAGAGUGCGGAAGAGGCGAGUGGAAUUCCUGGUGUAGCGGUGAAAUGCGCAGAUAUCAGGAGGAACACCAAUUGCGAAGGCAGCUCGCUGGGACGUAACUGACGCUGAGACGCGAAAGCGUGGGGAGCAAACAGG